rnacentral:lncRNA from 1 species
UUUUGGGUUACAAGGGAUAGCUCUCUCUAACCAUUGGCAAAACCUAACUGAUUUUCUUCUAAAGCCUCUAUCUUGCCUGACCAACUCUGUCAAUCACUUCCAUCAUUCUCACUGCUAUAGCACAACCACAAAGACAACCUUGAGAACAACCAUGAGAAUUUCUAUGCAAAUAGAAAGUGAUACAACCUAAAAUCCUGUGGGAAAAUCGUUUCUCUCUGAGAGGGCAUGUCUCUUCCCUGGAACCCAUCUCACUUGGAAAUCCCUAGCCAUCACAAAGGUG